UGCCUGUACUGCUGGCACCCUCCCAGCUCCGAGUAAUCUCGUAAGCAGUCGUCUACAGCGGAGUGGGUGAAGGACUGCCUCUUUCCCACGACUUUCUUCUCUAAUCCACUCAAGGUGAAGCUUCUUUUCACACAGUACAUCUUUUUAAAGGCCUCAAGACUCGCCGGAUCCACUGAAAUUCCCGACGAGGAGGCUCAGCAGGUUCUUAAGGACUUAGUAGAUUCUAUACACGCUGGCGGAGAAGACUCAGUUAUACUUAUACGAAAAGAAAUAAAGAGCCUAGAAUUGUACUUUUCGCUGCUUGUUGAUUUGGUUGAUCUGUCUACAAACCUGGGAAAGAAGGAUGAAGCUGAAAAGUAUGAAAGUCUACUUAUUGAAAAAAAGAAGUUCUUUCAGGUGGAAGUACUUGGCCCCUCUCUGCGUACUUACUACGCGGGGCCGCUAUAGUUGAAAAUAAUUCCCUCAUGAGAGUACUUCUUACUGUUAGUAAAAGACAUAAUCCAACCGAACAC